UGGAGCGAACCAUAUGUGACGUAUUAUCUCAGUUAUCAAUGACACCUAAGAACUUUGAACACUAUGAGAGGGAGAACUAAGCUGAAUGACCUAAUGUAUGGGGCCAAAUGAGGUGUGAGGGUCUUAGAUAUUGAAUUAUGGGCGUUUAGCGGUGAGGUCAUAAGGGCGUAACCGGCGGCGGAUGGGAGCGAACCGUACGUGACCUUAUAUCCGCUGGGGAAGGAGACGGUGGCUGAGUGGUUAGCGUGCCGGUCCUGCGUUCGCUGCAUGAUUGAUGAUGAGGGUUUGAAUCCGUCGCUGCCACAGACUACUUGUCCUGAAGACCACCACCAUCAUCCUGGACUGUAUGGGACUGUCCAAGGGAAAGCAAGAUGGGGCCACUAUAAACACUUGCCGGCUUGGGCCCACCACCAGGCCCAGCCAAGGGAGGUUGGUGUAGCAGUGCCGGGAGGUUCCAUAACACAGGGCACUCCUCACCUCAACAACAGUCUCUUCACCGACAAGUAAUUCUUCACCAACAAGCUUUUCAGCAGCUUGGAGAAAUAGACACUACCAAACGAAGAAGAGGAGGAGGAGGAGGAGGACUGGGAAGAAGACGAGGAACACAGGAGGAACCCAUUGAAUUGAACGGCUGAACGGACAACUCUAGCGUCUUGGUCUGCACACCGCACACUCUGGAAGAAGGAAGAACACCAAGAUGUCAAGUUCCUGCAGAAUCAGCCUCUUAGUGAAGGAAAUGUGCUCUAUUUAUUUAAUAAAUGAUUGACAAAAAAAUCAUUUAGUAUU